AGAGUUUGAUCAUGGCUCAGAACGAACGCUGGCGGCGUGCUUAACACAUGCAAGUCGAACGCGCAGCAUUCUGUAGCAAUACAGGGUGUGGGCGCGUGGCGAACGGGUGCGUAACACGUGGAUAACCUUCCUUGAGGUGGGGAAUAACCCAGUGAAAAUUGGGCUAAUACCGCAUAACAUCGCGAUGGCACAUGCUGAUGCGAUCAAAGGCGCAAGUCGCCACAAGAGGGAUCCGCGGCCGAUUAGCUUGUUGGCGAGGUAAUGGCUCACCAAGGCAAUGAUCGGUAGCCGGACUGAGAGGUUGGCCGGCCACACUGGAACUGAGACACGGUCCAGACUCCUACGGGAGGCAGCAGUGGGGAAUCUUGCACAAUGGACGAAAGUCUGAUGCAGCAACGCCGCGUGGGGGAUGAAGCUUCUCGGAGUGUAAACCCCUUUCGACCCGGAAGAAUGCCCGCAAGGGUAUGACGGUACGGGUAUAAGAAGCCCCGGCUAACUACGUGCCAGCAGCCGCGGUAAUACGUAGGGGGCCAGCGUUGCUCGGAAUUACUGGGCGUAAAGGGUCCGUAGGCGGUGUAGCAAGUCGAUAGUGAAAUCUCUGGGCUUAACCCAGAGGCGGCUAACGAAACUGCUGUGCUAGAGUGUGAGAGAGGCGAGUGGAAUUACGGGUGUAGCGGUGAAAUGCGUAGAUGUCCGUAGGAACAUCCGAGGCGAAGGCGGCUCGCUGGAUCACAACUGACGCUGAGGGACGAAAGCUAGGGGAGCAAACAGGAUUAGAUACCCUAGUAGUCC
rnacentral:rRNA from 1 species